AACGAACGCUGGCGGCAUGCCUAACACAUGCAAGUCGAACGAGACCUUCGGGUCUAGUGGCGCACGGGUGCGUAACGCGUGGGAACCUGCCCUUAGGUUCGGAAUAACUCCCCGAAAGGGGUGCUAAUACCGGAUAAUGUCUUCGGACCAAAGAUUUAUCGCCUUUGGAUGGGCCCGCGUUGGAUUAGCUAGUUGGUAGGGUAAAAGCCUACCAACGCGACGAUCCAUAGCUGGUCUGAGAGGAUGAUCAGCCACACUGGGACUGAGACACGGCCCAGACUCCUACGGGAGGCAGCAGUGGGGAAUAUUGGACAAUGGGCGAAAGCCUGAUCCAGCAAUGCCGCGUGAGUGAUGAAGGCCUUAGGGUUGUAAAGCUCUUUUACCCGGGAUGAUAAUGACAGUACCGGGAGAAUAGGCUCCGGCUAACUCCGUG
rnacentral:rRNA from 1 species